rnacentral:rRNA from 1 species
AGCUCCAAUAGCGUAUAUUAAAGUUGCUGCAGUUAAAAAGCUCGUAGUUGGAUUUGUGGCGCGGCCGUCCGGCGGGGGUCCUUCUAUGGUCUCGUUUGUCCUGGUUUUCGGCCGCUCCUUUCUCGGGUAGAGCGUAAUGGCUGGCAUUAGGUUGUCGGCCGCUUCGCGCCCGUCGUUUACUGUGAAAAAAUUAGAGUGUUCAAAGCAGGCUUAGGCCGUUGGAUACAUUAGCAUGGAAUAAUGAGAUAGGGCCACGGCGGUCUAUUUUGUUGGUUUGCACGUUGUGGUAAUGAUUAACAGGAACGGUUGGGGGUAUUCGUAUUCAAUUGUCAGAGGUGAAAUUCUUGGACUUGUGGAAGACCAACUACUGCGAAAGCAUUUACCAAGGAUGUUUUCAUUA